rnacentral:rRNA from 1 species
UACGGAGAGUUUGAUCCUGGCUCAGGACGAACGCUGGCGGCGUGCUUAACACAUGCAAGUCUACGAGAAAGAGGUAGCAAUAUCUUGAUUAAAGUGGCGCACGGGUGAGUAACACGUAAGCAAUCUACCCUUAGAUCUGGAAUAACUUCGAGAAAUCGUGGCUAAUACCAGGUAAUGCAGCGGCACCGCAUGGUGAUGUUGUUAAAGUUUCGAUGUCUAAGGAUGAGCUUGCGUCUGAUUAGCUAGUUGGUGAGGUAACGGCCCACCAAGGCUACGAUCAGUAGCUGGUCUGAGAGGAUGAUCAGCCACACUGGAACUGAGACACGGUCCAGACUCCUACGGGAGGCAGCAGUGAGGAAUAUUGGGCAAUGCCCG